ensembl:lncRNA
CUGGAAGGAUAUCUAUAUAUCCCUCUGCCUCCCUUCAUCCCUCGCUGCUUCCUGCCUGCCCUGCUCUGAGCAAUUCUCCUCUGCCGUGCUGCCCUGCCUUGGAGCCAGCUGAAUGUGGACUGAAACCUCUACAAACUAAAACUGAGAUGGGUUUUGUGAGAUGUUAUGUGUUGAAGGGAAGAUGCUGCAGAACUCUGACCAAGUAAUUGAACCUGUGCUUCUCAGGUUUCUUCUCAGACAUGAAGCGGUUAGACAUUAUCUCUACCUCCAAAAGGAUGGUGGGAGCCUGUGGUUAUCAGCCAGGAAGCUCACUGUGCAGAUGAGGUCAUCCUGCUGGUGAGCAGGUUUGAUUUCCACUGGUGAUGCCAUGCCCGAACUGAAGCCAUCGAGUCCUUCAGCGUGGCACACUUCCCUUCUCGUGUGCUUCACUUUCUGAUUACAAAUGGUUUGCAGCUUCUACGUUUUGCCUGAAGUGCUCAUUUUCUCCCCUGAAGGACACUGGGCCUGAUGGCAUCAUUAGCAGUUUUUCAACAGAAAACCUGUGAUAGCCCUUCCUGACUCUCAGACAUUCUGUACCUGUGACUAUGGCAAACCAGCUCAUUAACUCGCCCAUGCUGAAAUCGUGUGGGAUGCAGCAUUACAGGUGCUUGGGGAGCCUGGGGGAGUGGGUGAAAACAAAAGAGAAGAGACAUGAUCAUAAUUUCUGUACCCAGGUAAUGUGGUGUGAGCUCUUUGGAACAGUGACCAGAUCUCUUGUGAAUGAGUGAGAUUGUGGAGUAAGAAAAGACAAAGUACAUGUAUGAUCCAUCAUAGAGCAUAACUACGGAACAUGAUUGUUACCAAGAAAAUAUAUUUUUAAAAUAUCUGCUGAGGAUGAUUAAAUUGUGAUGUGAAAUAGUCAGGAAAGGGUUCUUGAAGAAUUUGCCAAAGAUUAGCUGGAAAGAAGAUAUUCUUUAGGAAGAAAUGAUUUGAGAAGGGAUGUUGUAGAAAGUCAAAUGAGGUAAAUUUGGAAGGUUUUAAAGGUCUUAAAAUUUAAGAGUACAGGAUCUGUAAUUAAGAAUAGUUGGUGGGAAUUCCAGAUUAGCCAUUUGUUUGAUGUCUUAUGAAACUUAAUUACUUCUUUGGGAAUAAAUUUGCCUUAUAGGAUUAUAAGGCAAUCUGGAUUGCACUAUCAGGAUUAGAUGGAAAUAAGAGAUAACUGAGCAUAGUGCCUAGAAUAUAAUAAAGAGUUGAUAAAAUGUGAAUAUUUAUUUUUGUUAGUAUUAUUAGUUCGUAUUGAAUGAAGGAAAAUUUUUUUUAAGGCAUGAAGAUGGAAUAAAUAGAGUGUUCAGUCGUCGAUGAUUUUGAAGCACUUGGGACAUAUAUGUUAGAAAAUGGGAAACCACCACAGAGUUCUGGUCAGAAGAGGAAAAUAUUUCAACACAGUGUCACAAAAACUUUGCCUUAGGCAGGGAAACUAGUCAGUGAGAUAUAGUGAUAGAUUAAUGAAAGGAGAAAGCACAAUGACUAAGGAAAUGAAAGGGGGGUUGAAUUUGAAAACCAUUCUAUGAGAGGAUUGGUAGAACAUGGUGACCUGUGGAAAUAAGGUGGUAAUAGUGAGAACGUAAGACAGAAAAAAUGAGGGCUGAGGCUGUGGUUCUGUAGUGGAGCAGCUGACCAGCAUGUGUGAGGCCUGGGUUCAGUGUCCAGCUCUGUAAAAAUCAAAAACAAAACAGCAACAAAACAAAGGUAAGAAAAUAAAAAUCAUCAAGGUAGUACCUUGUUAGUACCACUGGUAAUGAUGGAUUGAUUAGUAAGAAGUUUUUGUUUAAAGGGGAAAAUAAGGCAAAUAGAAGGACAAGAUACAGGAGAUAUUUGGCAUCUAACACUCUGUAAGUUUAUUUUUCUUUUAAUUUGCAUCCAGUAAAAUUCUGUUAUACUGUUCUGUGAAUUUUAAUAAAUGCACAGAGUUAUGUAAUCACUAUCAUAAUCAGAACCCUCCAAAUUUCCUUGUGCUGCCCCUGUGCAGUCUACAUUUCUUACAACUCUUAACCUCAGACAAAAACAGAUGGUUUUCUGUCCAUCUUGUGUUCUUUUUUCAAAAUGGAAACAUGUAGAAGGUGAUGUUUGAGUCUGGCUUUCCUCAUUGUGUAUAAGGUAUUUGCAGCUUAUCCAUGUGUGUACCAUUUCAUCCUUUAGUACUGAUGGAUAGUUUGUUUAUCCAUUUACCAGUUGAAGAAUUUCUCGGUUGUUCUAAGUUUUAAAUGAUUGUAAAUAAAGCUAUUAAAGACAUUUGUGUACAGGUUUUGGAAUAUAGUUUUCUUUUUUUCUGGAGUAAAUACCUAAGAGUGAAAUUUCUGAUGGUAGUGAAUGUUCAACUUUCUAAGAUAGUGUCAAAUGCAAAGUGACUAUGCCAUUCUCACCAGCAGUGUAUGACCAUUCCAGUUACUUUAUAUCCUUGUUAGCAUUUGGAAUUAUCUGUUUUGUUUCUGUUAACGUUUCAAAUAGAUGUCUAGUGUAUUUAUUUCAUUGUGGUUUUAAUUUGCGUUUCUAAUGACUAAUUAUGUUAAUCAUGUUUGCAUACCUUAAUUAUCAUCUCUGUAUCAUCUUUGGUGAAAUGUCUGUUUGAAUAAUUUCUAUUUUUAAAAUUAAGUUUACUUAUUGUUGAGUUGUGAGAGUUCUUUACAUAUUCUGCUAAUCAAUUGCUCC